UACGUAGGGUGCGAGCGUUGUCCGGAAUUACUGGGCGUAAAGAGCUUGUAGGUGGUUUGUCGCGUUGUUCGUGAAAUCUCACGGCUUAACUGUGAGCGUGCGGGCGAUACGGGCAGACUAGAGUACUGCAGGGGAGACUGGAAUUCCUGGUGUAGCAGUGAAAUGCGUAGAUAUCAAGUGGAACACCAGUGGCGAAGGCGAGUCUCUGGACAUUUCCUGACGCUGAGGCACGAAAGCCAGGGGAGCAAACGGG
rnacentral:rRNA from 1 species